GACGAACGCUGGCGGCGCGCCUAACACAUGCAAGUCGAACGGAGCUGAGAGAAGCUUGCUUGUCUUAGCUUAGUGGCGAACGGGUGAGUAACGCGUGAGUAACCUGCCCUGGAGUGGGGGACAACAGUUGGAACCGACUGCUAAUACCGCAUAAGCCCACGAUCCGGCAUCGGAUUGAGGGAAAAGGGUUUCGUCGCUUCAGGAUGGACUCGCGUCAAAUUAGCUAGUUGGUGCGGUAACGGCCCACCAAGGGGACGAUUGGUAGCCGGAAUGAGAGGUUGAACGGCCACAUCGGGACUGAGACACGGCCCAGACUACUACGGGAGGGAGCAGUGGGGGAUAUUGCAAAAUGGGGGAAACCAUGAAGCAGCGACGACGCGUGGAGGAAGAAGGUUUUCGGAUUGUAAACUCAUGUCGUUAGGGACGAUAAUGACGGUACCUAACAAGAAAGCACCGGCUAACUACGUG
rnacentral:rRNA from 1 species